rnacentral:sRNA from 1 species
AAACAUGUGCUAACACCACGAAUAAAGGCAACUCACGUUGCUUUUGAUUGCAUGAAGAAUUAUUUAGAUGCAAUUUAUGAUGUUACGGUGGUUUAUGAAGGGAAGGACGAUGGAGGGCAGCGAAGAGAGUCACCGACCAUGACGGGAUGCUUAUAGAAUUUUAUGAGUCACCAGAUCCAGAAAGAAGAAAAAGAUUUCCUGGGAAAAGUGUGAAUUCCAAAUUAAGUAUCAAGAAGACUUUACCAUCAAUGUUGAUCUUAAGUGGUUUGACUGCAGGCAUGCUUAUGACCGAUGCUGGAAGGAAGCUGUAUGUGAACACAUGGAUAUAUGGAACCCUACUUGGCUGCCUGUGGGUUACUAUUAAAGCAUAAACAAGUAGCUGUCUCCAGACAGUGGGAUGUGCUACAUUGUCUAUUUUUGGCGGCUGCAUAUGACAUCAAAUUGUUUCCUGAAUUUAAUAAGGAGUGUAAAUAAAGCCUUGUUGAUUG